rnacentral:piRNA from 1 species
UUUAUCUUUUUAGUGCCUGGAAACC